rnacentral:rRNA from 1 species
UGCAAGUCGAACGAGAAUCUCUGGAACAAGGCUUCGGCCAAGGGAAAGAGAGGACAGUGGCGGACGGGUGAGUAACGCGUGAGCAACCUGCCUAUCAGAGGGGGACAACAGCUGGAAACGGCUGCUAAUACCGCAUGACAUAACGGGGGGGCAUCCCUCUGUUAUCAAAGAUUUAUCGCUGAUAGAUGGGCUCGCGUCUGAUUAGCUAGUUGGCGGGGUAAGGGCCCACCAAGGCGACGAUCAGUAGCCGGACUGAGAGGUUGAACGGCCACAUUGGGACUGAGAUACGGCCCAGACUCCUACGGGAGGCAGCAGUGAGGAAUAUUGGUCAAUGGAGGCAACUCUGAACCAGCAACGCCGCGUGAAGGAAGAAGGCUUUCGGGUUGUAAACUUCUUUGACAGGGGACGAAAGCAAUGACGGUACCCUGAAAACAAGCCACGGCUAACUACGUGCCAGCAGCCGCGGUAAUACGUAGGUGGCAAGCGUUGUCCGGAUUUACUGGGUGUAAAGGGCGUGUAGGCGGGAUUGCAAGUCAGAUGUGAAAUGCC